AUUAACCUUCUGAUGGUACGUCAGAAGGAGGAUCAUCUACUUCUGAACCACAGUUAACUGUGAAUAACUGAAACUGUGAAAAGCAAAGCCAUGGAUAAGGGCAGGGGGUACUGUGUAAUAAAACUGUCAAAGACAAAAUCUUCAAGGUAGGAAGAGAAAAAAAGCUUGUAACUUAGAAGAAAACCCCAAUGAAGCCAACAGUGGAUUUCUCAGCAGAAACCUUAUAGGCCAGGAGAGAGUGGGAUGUUAUACUCAAAGUGCUCAGGUUUAAAGACUGCCAACCAAGAAUACUCUAUAUGACAAAGCUGUCUUUCACAAAUGAAGGAGAGAUAAAGACCUUCCCAGAGAAACAAACGCUGAGAAAGUUCAUUACCACUAGACAUACUUUAAAAGAAAUGCUGAAAGGAGUUCUUUAAGCUCAAAUGAAAGGACACUAAUUAAUAACAUGAAAAUAUGACAAUCUACAACACACUGGUAAGAAGAGGAGCCAGGUCCGUGGAUUCAUUCUCUUUUUCUCCUGCUUUGUCUUUUGCUUCUUCUCCCCCUUCUUCCUCUGCCAUGCACCAUAUUUAUCAUCCUCAUCCUCAUCCUCAGCAGCAGCAGAAGUGAGAAGCACCAUUAUGUUUCAAUCAGAUCACAGGAGUGACAGCUUGGUUACUGGAAAAGAAUCAGCUCAGAAAGACAGUUCCAAUUACACCGACAAGAAGCAUGGAGAGAAAGGGGGCAGUUGUGGAGGACAUGUGACUACACUGGGAAUGAGCUCACAUUACUUUUUGGCUUCAUACCUGCUGUGUUUCAAGAAGUCACCCGAAUUAUACUGAAAGCACUUGUAAGACUCUCCUAUACCUGAAGGGCAGAGAGCCGAGUAAGGAGAACAGGAGGCCUCAGGGAUCAUGCUAGGAGGGUUUCUGCGUGAUUCCCAAUGCAACGGUGAGCACGAGCCCACUUCAGAAGGGAAGAAUAUCUGCCAUAUUGCCCACUGCUGAAAACAUUUAAAAGACAACAAAACAAAGCAUGAAGGAGCACCGGGGAGGAAGAUACCAAGUGCUCAAGCCUGAGUGCUCAUCUCCAAACACAUCAAAGAACAUACAAGGAUCCAUUAAAAAUGAUACAUGGAACAUGGUCCUUUCAAGUCAGAAUAUGAAGACGAGAGGCAGCUUCUUUCUCUGCAGGCCGCACUGUCACCUGCAGGGCUACAGUUGAACUCCCUGCGACAGUGGCCCAGACCACCUGACGCUCGGGACCAGAUAGCCCUGUGCCCUCUGGAAGAUGCUGGAGCAUAACGGUGCUUCCCAGCAGGAUGGCCAGGGAUCACUAAAUCUGAGCACGGUUUUACUUCUCAAUGGGGCUGCUUGUCACAGUUGAAUCAGGAGUGAGGGGUAUCCAGCCUUGAGCUGUGUUUGUUCCCCUUGUAAAGGCCUGUCACAGCUUCAUACCUCAUGAGAUUAGUUACCCCCCAGUCUAACAGCCCGGCCACCCACGGUGACCCUCACAGUCCCACGUGCUGUAAAGUAGGAGACUAGGCACAAGGGAAAUAUGCGAUGAACAGAACCCCUCACCCAAACGUCAGGAUAAAUAUCUGGGACAUUGCAGUGGCAUUUUCUUGUCAGUUUAAGAGCGGAGAUUCUUCAGGUGUGGUCCUGGGACCACCAGCAGAUUCAUAUAACCCGGGAGCAUGUUAGGAUUCUCACUCUUGGCACCUCCUCCCCCACCCCAGGUAACAGACACCCUGGGAGUGGGGCCCAGCAGAGGAGGCCUUGGGAGAUGAUUCUGAAGCCCAGGGUUAUGUGGGAACCACGAGUAAAAGAGUGAGCAGUCAGGGGGCUCUUGUGCCCGGACUAGGACUUGGGGUGUUUCAGACCCGAGAUGUCUUUGCGAGAGCUUGGGAGGAAGGCCUGAGAGAGAGGAUCAUAUUGGCAGCAGGGGUGGGGGGACCCAUAGGUAUCUUGGUAGCACGGAUUUGAGGUGUGGUUUAAAAAAAUUCGCUCUGUUUGGUAUUGUAUUGUAGUAACGGCAAAGUGUAGUAUUUCCAAAUAAUUUGUCAGUGUAGGCAGAUAAUUUCAGCUGUAGCCCAGAUGACUUUGGACCCACAGAAGGGAUUUACUUCCUAGUCCUUCAUGUCUAUGAUGUUCACCACAACAAAGCUUUGAUGUUAUUAGGAAUGCAUUUAGAUUUAUAUCCACUGGAUCUAGAUCCCCUCUUUGGCAUUGGUCUGGUACUAGCUAGCUCAUACCUUAAACCCAGACUAGAAAAUAUGGAUAGAGGCUAUUUUUGAAAUUACAUUCUCCUUCUCUUCUUCCCAAACAAUGCAUUCUGAGAUUCUGAUACGAAUAGGAGGCAUUUUAGGGCACAUGUGGAAAAUCACGAUUUAAGAAAAAUGUGAGCAUGCAUUUUUUAUGUUCUGAGAAGCUAAGAAAAAAAUACGGAAGAGAAAGUUCAGAGAAUCUAGGAGAAACCCUGAAGAAUAGCCUUUUAGCCAAGAAGAAAAAUUGUUAGUUGUUGGCUAUAUUCAGAAGAUUUGCAUUUUUAAAGUUAAUGACUUAUAUAAUAAAAGGUUCCAGUUAAAUUAUUAUAGUGGCUGCUUGCUUCAGGGCAAGUGAAAACCUUUGAGGUUUUAAAUCAUAUUCUUCAGUCUGGCAGGAGAGGGCAUUUUAAAUUCUUGCAAACUAUUUCUUUAAUCUCUGUAACUUUUCUCUACCUGGUCCCCUAUAUGUAACUGGCAGGAAAAUGAAAAAAAAAAAAUUUUUUUUUUUUUAACCAAAAAUGUUGGUAUUCAGGCACGAAUGGGUAGGUAAUGUUAAGAUUGCUGAGGCUUCCCUGGAAGUAUUAUUUGGUUGGUAACCUAUGAAAAAUUAGUAGCUGUAUUUAACUGCCUGAAUAUAGCAUAUUAUGGUUAUCCUACUUUUGAGCCUUGGUGUGAUUCAACCUUUGACCUGUGCAUUGACAAUGACUCUUGAAAUCAAACCCGUCCCAGAAAAGCUAGCGAUUUAACUGUUUUAACUGUAACGAUGGCUCAGCAUUUGCCUUGCAUCAAAGAGGCAGGGCAAGUGGAAAUUUUACAGUGUGGUUCUGCUCUAAUGUAGAAAGAUGCUAAGAGUCAUAUAUUUUGCCUCCUGACUGAGGACUUUAAUCCAGCAUGCUCUGGGUACUGCAAACAGAGAUCCUCAGAGCAAAACUCCAUAAAAGGAACAAAAUCAGAUAGAAUUGAAUAUACAAAAGCACUUGAAUAAAAUGGACUGUAUCUUGAUGCCCAGAAUAUAAGUAGUCAAAAAACUCUUUUUCCAUAAAGCUCAAGUUCUGGAAAAACACUGGGACAUAGUGAUGCGCAUUUACGUAGAAGCUUUACUGGGGUUUAAGCUCUGGAAGCCUGAUGUGGAGCUUGAUCCCAGCACCCUGAGAUCAUGACCUGAGCUGAAGGCAGACACUUAACUGACUGAGCUACUCAGGCUCCCCUGUAUAAUAUUUCUUAAAUUUACCUAACUGGAGAGCACUUUGGUUCUGCUGUGGAGAAUCAUGACAGCCUGAUGCUAAUUGUGAUGGCCUUUUGGGUGGUGCUGAUGGGGCUGUGACUUCCCCGUCAUGAGUAAGGACAAUCAGGGCUGAUCGGGACCAGGUAUAGAAGGUCCCCCUCCAUAUCAGGGCAGGGCCCACCCUGACUCCCCCACAGCAGCACCCUGCCUGUCUGUGGUCAGCUCACCAAGACGGUGGGUGAGGUACAGCCAGCAGCCCCUCAUUGCCCCAUCAGUUCCUGGGUGGGGGAGAGACCCCCCCAGAGGGCCACUCUGGCUCUGAGACAGCUGCUGUGGAUGACAGGGAGACUGGGUGGCUUCAUUUACAUUCAAGCAGCUGUGAUCCCAUACAAGCUAGAAGGGAAAGCCCACAAGGGAGAAAAUGACUUACUCAUAAAAUUUUAAUAAAUA